UGGAAUCUUAAAACUAAUUAACGAUUACACAAAUUUAUCUUCAUAUAUAUCCUGUUUCAAGUUCGUUAUACAAAUCUAUUGGGAUAAUAUUCAUCAUAAUAACGUUUACCCUCCGGUUUGUUGUAUAAACUUGUGGCAUCGAGUCAUAUUCCCAGAAGUUGAAUUCGGCAUAAUUGUGAAAUUAACGGAAGAAAGCUUUUAACAAUGCCGUGAGGAGCUUCAUAUCCGACAAAUGCUUAAUAUGAAAUAUACAAAUUUAUUUUAUCCGGAUCGUAUAAACAGUGAUAGUUGCCUCAAAAAAUUCAUCGCGAUCCUGAAGAAGUACUUGAAAGAAUAUAAUGAAAGUAAAAAUGGUUCUACUGAAACAAGUGUUUAUCACUCUUCAACUGUUGAAGUUUCGACGUCAUUUGCAAUCGUCUCAGAUAAUUUCAAUUUUAAUAUUUGCAGUAAUAGCAAUGUAAAAGAUAAUGGUAGUAGUAUUAUAAAAGCACUCUACUCAUUUAUGUUAUUAAUGUGGUAAGAAAUAAUAUUAAUAAUUAUAAUUGCCCGAAAUUGACCCGCGAUUUAUUGUAUAAUAUAAUACACUGGUUAUUGGGAGCUUGAAAUAUUCGAUUUUGUGCUGAAUGUUGAACAAGUCGGAAACGGGAAGCUCGGUACGUCAGUAGUGGAUAUCCGUUGACAUCUCCUAAGGGGUACCAAUUUGACCCAAAAAAGCAACUUUAACAC